GGGGUUAUAGCUCAGUUGGUAGAGCACUGCAAUGGCAUUGCAGGGGUCAGGAGUUCGAGUCUCCUUAGCUCCA
rnacentral:tRNA from 4 species